CGAUCUACUCCGAGCUUCUACUACAAGCGAUCUACUCCGAGCUACCACUACAAAUGGUCUACUUCGAAUUUCUACUACGAGCGGUCCACGUCGGAUUUCUACUGUAAGCCUCCACCUGAGCUUCUAUUGUGAACGAAUUCCUUCCGAACUUCUAUUGCAGGCAGGCUUCGGCUGAGCUUCCUCAACAAAUGAUCCCCAUCCGAACUUCUACGGGAACC
rnacentral:lncRNA from 1 species